rnacentral:rRNA from 1 species
AUUGAACGCUGGCGGCAGGCUUAACACAUGCAAGUCGAGCGAGCGGCGGACGGGUGAGUAAUGUCUGGGAAACUGCCUGAUGGAGGGGGAUAACUUCUGGAAACGGUAGCUAAUACCGCAUACCAUCAGAUGUGCCCAGAUGGGAUUAGCUGGUAGGUGGGGUAAUGGCUCACCGAGGCGACGAUCCCUAGCUGGUCUGAGAGGAUGACGGGCCAAGAUGGAAGUGCGACACGGUCCAGGUGCCUACGGGAGGCAGCAGUGGGGGAUAUUGCACAAUGUGAGAAAGCCUGAUGCAGCGACGCCGCGUGGGGGAUGAAGGCUUUCGGGUUGUAAACCUCGUUCGCCAUCGAAAGGGUAGGUGGAGAAGAAGCGCCGGCUAACUACGUGCCAGCAGCCGCGGUAAUAC